GACGAACGCUGGCGGCGUGCUUAACACAUGCAAGUCGAACGGAAAGGCCCUGCUUUUGUGGGGUGCUCGAGUGGCGAACGGGUGAGUAACACGUGAGUAACCUGCCCUUGACUUUGGGAUAACUUCAGGAAACUGGGGCUAAUACCGGAUAGGAGCUCCUGCUGCAUGGUGGGGGUUGGAAAGUUUCGGCGGUUGGGGAUGGACUCGCGGCUUAUCAGCUUGUUGGUGGGGUAGUGGCUUACCAAGGCUUUGACGGGUAGCCGGCCUGAGAGGGUGACCGGCCACAUUGGGACUGAGAUACGGCCCAGACUCCUACGGGAGGCAGCAGUGGGGAAUAUUGCACAAUAGGCGGAAGCCUGAUGCAGCAACGCCGCGUGCGGGAUGACGGCCUUCGGGUUGUAAACCGCUUUCGCCUGUGACGAAGCGUGAGUGACGGUAACGGGUAAAGAAGCACCGGCUAACUACGUG
rnacentral:rRNA from 1 species